AUGGCAGAGAGAGACAGAUAUUUUUCAUAUAAAUCAUAUACAUUUUUACUUAAUUCUUAGUCAUGUGCAUUUCUUUAAUAUGUGCCCUUAUGUGUGUGUAUUUGUUGUGAGAGAGUGUUUGAGAGAGAGAGAGUGCAUGACAGAGAGAGGCAGACAUUUUUCAGAUGCAUCACAGACAUUUUGACUUAAUUCUUAGUCAUGUGCAUUUCUUUAAUAUGUGCCCUUAUGUGUGUGUCUUUGUUGUGAGAGUGAGAGAGAGUGAGAGUGAGAGUGAGAGUGAGAGUGAGAGUGAGAGAGAGAGAGAGAGAGAGAGAGAGAGAGAGAGAGAGAGAGAGAGAGAGAGAGUGCAUGACAGAGAGAGGCAAACAUUUUUCAGAUGCAUCACAGACAUUUUGACUUAAUGUGUCAUUAGCUGUGUGGUGAUUUGGGAGAAUCCUGUGUGUCCAGCUCUCCGCUCACUUGCUGCUCAUUGGGCACAUCUGAGAGUAUCCUGGGGGUUCACCCUCAACAUCUGACAGUAUCCUGGGGGUUCACCCUCAACAUCUGAGAGUAUCCUGGGGGUUCACCCUCAACAUCUGAGAGUAUCCUGGGGGUUCACCCUCAACAUCUGAGAGUAUCCUGGGGGUUUACCCUCAACAUCUGACAUGGCAGGCUGCCGGCUGUGGAGCUGAUGCAUGAUCAUGGCUGCCAGGAUAAUCCCAGUGAACUGAAAAGGAUUUCCAAAAGAAGUUACAUCCAUGAAACAAAAUUGCAAAAUGUUCAUGUUCAUUAUUGUAGUCUUUAUACUGAUGUACUGUUGAAGCAGGGAGUUUCACCUCCCACCAUGCUCUCUCUAAGAAUCUUUAAUAGUUUGAAUGUGUUGCUGUGACAAUAAUAUCGUUUUUCUUACCCAUAAGGCAGCAAGGCUAAAGCUGACAGCCAAUCCAGCAUCGAGACUCCAAGCAUAAUUUGGGCCGUUGGGCCUCAACUGGCUCAACUGGCUCCACUGUCAUUCAGAGAUAAUAAAACAAAAAUAAUAAUUUAAACA
rnacentral:lncRNA from 1 species